rnacentral:rRNA from 1 species
UACGAAGGGGGCUAGCGUUGUUCGGAAUCACUGGGCGUGAAGCGCACGUAGGCGGAUUUCUAAGUCAGGGGUGAAAUCCUGGAGCUCAACUCCAGAACUGCCUUUGAUACUGGGAAUCUCGAGUCCGGGAGAGGUGAGUGGAACUGCGAGUGUAGAGGUGAAAUUCGUAGAUAUUCGCAAGAACACCAGUGGCGAAGGCGGCUUACUGGUCCGGUUCUGACGCUGAGGCGCGAAAGCGUGGGGAGCAAACAGG